UACGUAUGGGGCAAGCGUUAUCCGGAUUUACUGGGUGUAGAGGGAGCGUAGACGGCGAGGUAAGCCUGAAGUGGAAGCCCGCGGCCCAACCGCGGAACUGCUUUGGGAACUGUUUUGCUGGAGUAUGGGAGGGGUAAGCGGAAUUCCUGGUGUAGCGGUGAAAUGCGUAGAUAUCAGGAGGAACACCGGUGGCGAAGGCGGCUUACUGGACCAUAACUGACGUUGAGGCUCGAAAGCGUGGGGAGCGAACAGG
rnacentral:rRNA from 1 species